rnacentral:rRNA from 1 species
UACGUAGGGGGGCUAGCGUUGUCCGGAAUCAUUGGGCGUAAAGCGCGUGUAGGCGGUUCGGUAAGUCCGCUGUGAAAGUCGGGGGCUCAACCCUCGGAAGCCGGUGGAUACUGUCGAGCUAGAGUACGGAAGAGGCGAGUGGAAUUCCCGGUGUAGCGGUGAAAUGCGCAGAUAUCAGGAGGAACACCAAUGGCGAAGGCAGCUCGCUGGAACGGUACUGACGCUGAGGCGCGAAAGCGUGGGGAGCGAACAGG